rnacentral:piRNA from 1 species
UUCACUAGUUUAAAUAGUUCA